GAAUGGAACAAGCUUUUGUUGGUGGGGAUGCAACUACUCGAAAAGAGUCUGAAAAUAUAUAAGGAGAUAAACCAUGUCAGAAUAUUUAUAAUCAUAAUCACAAGAAUUACUGUAAUUUCUGUAAUGACACCAUUACUGUAGUUAUUUACUGCAAAUUUUAUAAGAAUGAAGGACGCUCAUGCAGGUAUAUUUUUUGUCAUAUAUAUUUUUUGGUAUACACAUCCAGUGUAGUUGUAAGAUCAGUGAAAAAAUGGGGCUGCAAAUUAAGGGUGUUUGCGGGCUGGAUAUAAAUUGAGGCUAAAUUCAAGAUGGCGGAAAAUUUGGGAGAAGAAAACAUAAGUGAAAAUGCUUUGCCAAAAGAAACGUUUUCAUUCGGCCAAAUUAAAACUAGUGCAUUAGAUGAAGACGAAGACGAAGAUGAGGUCUGUGAAUUCUCUUUACAUCCUACAUGUUUUUCAGUACGCCAAUUCAACAGCACAAUUAAAAGUGUUUAAUAGUGUUAUAAAAAUAAUUAAAAAUUAAAUAUUCCAACUUG